rnacentral:rRNA from 1 species
CCUACGGGACGCAGCAGUGAGGAAUAUUGGUCAAUGGCCGAGAGGCUGAACCAGCCAAGUCGCGUGAGGGAUGACGGCCCUACGGGUUGUAAACCUCUUUUGUCGGGGAGCAAGACCCGCCUCGUGCAGGCGGAGCGAGAGUACCCGAAGAAAAAGCAUCGGCUAACUCCGUGCCAGCAGCCGCGGUAAUACGUAGGUGGCAAGCGUUAUCCGGAUUUAUUGGGUGUAAAGGGCGUGUAGGCGGGAUUGCAAGUCAGAUGUUAAAACCAAGGGCUCCACCUGUGGCCUGCAUUUGAAAAUGUAGU